UGUGUGACCAUUCUAAGGAAAUUCUCUGCAAACUCAAACACUUUGACCGAAGAAUUCAAAUUUGUUUGCCAUUUACAAUAAAAAAAAGUAAAAAGGUUCUCUUUUUUGUUUUCUCCAAGUUUUCACUAUUUCGGCAACCAAAUCCCUAUUUCUCCUGCUCAUAUCGUCCUUUACCACACACCAUUUCAAAUGAAUCUUUAGCCGUUUGAAACCCUAGUCUUUCAAGAAACCCACUCAAACAAACCCUAGCUCGUCCUCCUAUAAAUAGGAGUGUUGAUAACAAUUUCGGAUAAAAGAUAGCUACCGCUCUUACUCUCUAAAAACUACAGUUCUUUACUCAUUUUCACCCCUAAGAUACUCUCAGAAUUUUCGAUUUGCUCUCUCUUACCUUUGUCGAUCUCAGCUGUGAUAGAGGUGGUGUUUCUAGGUCAUCAAUCCGAAUCCGGAGAUUUGAGUAGCCGCUAAAAAUCGCCCUAGUUCGCUGCACUACAAAAGGGCAAGAAGCCAAGUGGUUGAGAACUUAUUGGCAGACGUGCCUUUGUGGGGAAGACAAGAUUCACCAGUUUCUCUACAUUGUGACUCAUAUGCGGCAAUUGGAAUUGCCAAAAAUAGUGUGUAGAAUGGAAAAAGAAGACAUAUAUGCAUUAGGCAUGGUGCGGUAAAAUAGUUGUUGAAACAUGGUGUUAUUUCCUUGGAAUAUGUAAGAUCCGAAAGAAAUUUGGCGGAUCCUUUAAGCAAGGGUUUGGCAAGGAGAGUUAUCCUUGAAACGUCGAGGAGGAUGGGGCCCAUGGAUUGAGGAAGUAUGGUGGAUACCCGUUUGUGGUCAAACGAAGCUAUAUAAGACCUCAAUAUGCUCUACAUUUCCUAUCCCCACAGUGUAUGCUAGUGUUUUAUAAGGUUGAGCUUACUUUGCUCUUAAUGAUUCCAUAGCCUUAAGGUAGUCUAUGUGUAGAUAGACUUGAUGGAAUCACAUACGUGAGUGUAAAGGUGUGGUCGCCUUUUAUGAAAGGCUUGGGAUGUCUUUCUAGAGCACUCAUGAGACCAAGGUAUGUGCAUGACCAUAAAAGCACUUUGUUAGUAUCGCGGAGUUUGCAUAAAAUUAAGGAUAUAGUAUGUGUUGUGGGGGUCUCAACUAAUGUCCAUUCAGUUCAAGAGUACUUCACUUUGUGGAUGUUAGUUGUUGCCUCAUUUCACUACGUGUCAAUUCAAAUCGAAAGAUAUUGACACUUAAGUACAUGUUCCUUCUUUUGCCCAAAAUUAUUCUAUUUUUGUCUUUGCAUUAGUGGGGAAUUGUUGGUAUUAUUUAUAAUGCAAAGUCAAAAAUUUCUUUUUAAAAAUCUAUUUACAUUAUUGGUAUUGUUGGUAUUAUUCAAGUGUUCUAUCUAUUUUCAAGUAGCAUCUUGCAUGAAGCCUUAAAGCCAAGUGUUGAAUGGCUUUGACAAAUGGCUAUGCAAAUAUAUCAUGUGUCUUCAUGCAUGGAAGACUAGGUACACUUAUUAAUAUUGAAGCCAAGUGGACUAAUAUACAUACAUUCAAGGUACGUGCAUACAUGCAACCUUGCUAAUUGCGUAUAAAUAGGAUGAUCUUUAGCCAUCAUAUCCACUCAAUUCUUAGCCAAGAAUUCACCUUGCUAAUUAUUACUUCCUUCCUACAAUAUUUUAAUUUCUGUAACAACUACAGAAAAACCUUCAUCUUCUCUUCUUUUUGGGCAACUAUUUUGUGCCAAUUCUAAACUUCCAGCCACGAGUGCACGUGUUUGCAGGUGUUGUGGAACCUUGGGGAGCGACCGGUCUUAACGAUUUGCACCCAGUUAAGCCGAAAUCGCUUUCAAGGCAGUGGCUUGUCACGACACAAUAUUUUUGAUAAGUUCUAGUCUUCUUUCCUUUUUGUUCUUAGUCAAUAUUAUCUACUCAUUUUCCUUACAGUUUUUUAUCUAGACUUAAUAUUUAGAUUAGAGCACAUACCUAAACUUAGAGAUUAAUGAAUGUAUUAGUAUAAGAUUGCUGAAAUAUUUUAAAAAUAUUUGUUUUAUGUGAGUUAAUAAUCCUGCUGUAAGUUUAGAAUCCAAUUCAAGUUUACUACUCUUCUAUCUCAGUUUAUUGCCACUACUUUAUUUCUAAUUCUUAUCUUCUUUUUUUGUUUGCAUAUGCACAUGGAGUAAUAUGAGUCUUAAUGCAAGUCUCACCCGAGCAUGAAGUCAUCACCAUAUAUUAGACUAAUGGACAAGAAGAAAAGAAGCAAAACUUGCUUGGGGUCGCCUAUGGCAGCUUUCAUUAAUCUUUACUCAUUUUAUCUAAAUUUCGUUAGUUCUUGUGA